GAUGAACGCUGGCGGCGUGCCUAAUACAUGCAAGUCGAGCGAACAGACGAGGAGCUUGCUCCUCUGACGUUAGCGGCGGACGGGUGAGUAACACGUGGAUAACCUACCUAUAAGACUGGGAUAACUUCGGGAAACCGGAGCUAAUACCGGAUAACAUGUUGAACCGCAUGGUUCAACAGUGAAAGACGGUUUUGCUGUCACUUAUAGAUGGAUCCGCGUCGCAUUAGCUAGUUGGUAAGGUAACGGCUUACCAAGGCAACGAUGCGUAGCCGACCUGAGAGGGUGAUCGGCCACACUGGAACUGAGACACGGUCCAGAAUCCUACGGGAGGCAGCAGUAGGGAAUCUUCCGCAAUGGGCGAAAGCCUGACGGAGCAACGCCGCGUGAGUGAAGAAGGUCUUCGGAUCGUAAAACUCUGUUAUUAGGGAAGAACAAAUGUGUAAGUAACGAUGCACGUCUUGACGGUACCUAAUCAGAAAGCCACGGCUAACUACGU
rnacentral:rRNA from 1 species